rnacentral:rRNA from 1 species
CUUGCUUUUGAUGGGCGUCGACCGGCGCACGGGUGAGUAACGCGUAUCCAACCUGCCCACCACUUGGGGACAACAGACGGAAACGACUGCUAAUACCGAAUAAGUUCCAAGAGCCGCAUGGCCCAUGGAAGAAAAGGUGGCCUCUACCUGUAAGCUAUCGCCUGAAGAGGGGUUUGUGUCUGAUUAGCUGGUUGGAGGGGUAACGGCCCACCAAGGCGACGAUCAGUAGCCGGUCUGAGAGGGUGACCGGCCACAUUGGGACUGAGAUACGGCCCAGACUCC